AUUCUACCCAUGUGGGGAAGGAUGAGAAGCUUCGACUAAGGUUCGAUUCGAGCGCAGCGAGAAAGCGUUGCCGCAGGC
rnacentral:sRNA from 1 species